GUGAAGGGUGUUAUGCUGACUCACAAGGACAAAUCGAAUCUGAUGACGGUGUAAUUGAACAAGGUUGUGUUGCUGCUUUAAGAACUUGGGAUCUGGUUGAAGAAACCUGGGGGGGGGACCUACCUCAUUUACUAAAAUAAUACAGGGUUCUGGAGAAGCCGUCACAGAAUUCUUACAGAAGUUGAGUUUAGCUGUGAACAGAGCCAUAAGAGACAUUGAAAUCUGUAGCAGGAAAUAUUUUUUAAAGCAUCAUCCCACACUGGCACAGGCUACUCUCUGGCGAUCUCUCUGCCUCCAUGGUUAGCCCCAUGUAGCAACUGCCUAUCUUGCUGUUCUCUUGCGGUAGAUCCUGCUCACAUUCCCAGCCAUCCACCCCCUGUGGUCAGUGGUCACACAUCCCAGCAACAUGGUAAAAUCAAAACUCUAGAGGCUUGUAAUUUAUCAGUCCGAUUUAUAUCAGUAAAUUCUCAACCCACAAAAGGCCCACACAAUGAACUCAAAACUCAAUUGAUACAAACACAAGCUACCCACCUAUACGGGGGCAGACACACCCUAAUUAUUAUUUAAUUAUCUAAGAAAUCCCCAGUACUUAUGGCUUCCAGGAUUGUGUGGCUCUGGCUCAUCUUCCUUUCCUACAGGUUCCAUCUUCUCUCUUCCUCUUCUUCACAUCUUCUCCCCUCUCGCUCUGUCUCUAAAAUUCUCAGCCCACCUUCCUUUUCCACUGCCCGAGCACAGGCUCUCACCUUAUCUUGUAUCUGCCCUCACCUGCAUAUAGACAGCAACCCACAGAAACCAGACAGUCAUUGAUAGAAAUUUUGGCAUUUGAAAAUGCAAACACUGAAUGUGAGAGAGCAAUCAGACCAUUGAAAGCAUGAGGAGCCCCCAGUAGAUGAACGGAUAAGGGAGAGAAUUGGUGCUGGUUCUCAGGAGUAUAUUGUCAAUAUCAUAGGGUGAACCACAGCUAGAAAUAUCAGGAAUCAAAAUGCUUGAUGUUUUAAUUGUGGUGAAUUUGAUCAUUUCCAACAACUACAACAACAACAGUAAGGCUAAAAGAUUCGGAGCUCAAAGUAACAUUGACACUAGGGAAUUUGGUGAUCGUAGUGGAGAACAAGCAGGUUCUGGUGGCUUUGAGCCACAAAGGCUUCCAGGGUAUUCUAGCCGCUGUGGAAAGGGUAAACAUUGGUCAACGACUGCUGGUCUGAGGUAACCUCUUGCCAUCAGGAAAGGAACCGAAGGGCCUGUCAGCUCGAGGCCCUGCAGCAAACAAUAUGAGCCGUUUUCCUUUGGUCAGUCAGGAGGUACCAAUAGGCAAGAAAAUCAAAAUCAGAUAUUUCUGAUCUUAUGCAUGCUACAGAAGGAAGUGCAGCUUUGGAUCUAACUACAGAUACCUUUUGUUUUACAUUUUCCCCAAAAGUUGAAUGUUACAAAUUAACCACUGGUGUGUAUGGUCCCUUCCCUUCAGGGACAGUGGAAAUAAUCUUGGGAAAGAGUGGAUUAACUUCCCAAGGAUUUAUUGUGCAUCCAGGUGUAGUAGAUGGGAAUAGCAAGGAAAAAAUAAAAAUUAUGGGAUAUGUGAAAAAGGAGAUGCAAAUUGAUCCAGGGGAUAGAAUUGCUCAACUCUUGUUUCUUUACAUUAAGGGCAAGGCUGCUCCAGUAGAAAGGACAGGAGCUUUUGGGAGCACUGGAAAAUGUGUGUUCUGGAAAUCACUGGUUAAUGAUCAGAGACCCAAACUAAUAAUACAAAUGAAUGGUGUUGACAUAGAAGGUUGGAUACAGGAGCUAAUGUCAGUAUACUUUCCCCAAAGUCUUGGAAUCCAGAUUGGUCACACACAAUUUAUAGGAAUUGUAAAGUUAUCAGGAAUAAGACAAAGUGUCCAAUGGGUUAUCUGUGUGGGACCAGAAAGGCAAACAGGGAAGCAGAUACCUUUUGUGGCUGACAUACCCAUAGACUUAUGGUGAAGAGAUCUUUUACAAUAAUGGGGUUACUCAGAUUAAUAUUUCUGCAAUUCCAGGGAAAGCAAAUGAAGGAAAUAGGGGUGAUCUUGGUAGAUCUUGGGGAAGGUAUUGAUGCAGGUGAUAGAGAACAAUCACAAGCUGUGCCCAUGGUCAAAAACAGGACCCACUGAGGGCACACCAAGAGCCUUGCCCCUUAAGUGGUUAUCCAACCAGCCUCUUUGGCAAGAGCAGUGGCCCAUAAUAAAAGAAAAAUCGCAAGCACUUGAACAACUGGUACAAGAGCAGCUGGUGGCUCAACAUAUAGAAGAGUCUACCAGCCUGUGGAAUUCUCCUGUGUUUGUGGAAUUCUCCUGUGUUUGUUGGGGAAAAAAAAUCAUGUAAAUAGAAGAUGACAAUGGAUUUAAGAGCAGUUAAUAAUGUAAUUUAACCAAUGAAUCCUUUACCAUCUUUAUUACCAAAAUCAUGGCCUAUAAUAAUAAUAAUUGACUUGAAGUGUUGUUUUUCGUGGUGGUGCACGCCUUUAAUCCCAGCACUUGGGAGGCAGAGGCAGGCAGAUUUCUGAGUUUAAGGACAGCCUGGUCUACACUGGUCUACAAAGUGAGUUCCAGGACAGCCAGGGCUACACAGAGAAACCCUGUCUCGAUAAACCAAAAAAAAAAAAAAAAAGGUUGUUUUUCUCAAUACUCUUGCAUGCUUAGAUGAGAAAGAUAGGGAAAGGUUUGCUUUCUCAGUACCUACUUCAAAUAAUAGUCAUCUACUAAAAAGAUACUACUGGAAGUUACUUCCACAGGAAAUGUUAAACAGUACAACUUUAUUUCGUGCAAUAACCAUUAGAAAUAAUUCGUAUGCAUUCCCUCAAUCUAUCAUUUAUCAUUAUAUGGAUGACAUUCUGUUGGCAGAUUCUGACAAAGAUGUUUUAAAGAACAUGUUUAAGUUAACACAAAGAAUUCUGCCAUGCUGGGGGUUACAGAUUGUUCCAGAAAUACAGAGAGGAGAUUUACUUUGUUACUUGGGUUAUAAAAUCAGUUAACAAAAAAUUUCACCACAAAAGGUAGAGAUCAAUAGGGGACCAAUUGCAAACUUAAAUUUUCAAAAUUAAUGGGAGAUAUUAACUGAGGCCUACAAUGGAUUAAGUAUAUAUGAGUUAAGUAAUUUGUUUCAAAUAGUAGAAGGAGAUUCCAAUUUAGGCAGUCCAAGAUGUCUAAUAGUCAAAGCAGAAAAAGAGUUAACUCUUCUAGAACCAAGUCUGCAAGGGUUGUGUGUGGGUAGAAUUGAUCCUAAACUUGAGUGUAUUCUGCUCAUUUUACCUUCAACUCAUUCUCCUUCUGGACUCAUUAUACAAAAGGAAAACAGUAUUAUGGAAUGGAUUUCCUUAGCUCAUAAAGUAAAAAAUUGAAGACAUACAUAGAAAAGAUUUCUGAAUGCAUUAUAAAAGGCAGAACAUGACUACAUGAGCUGGCAGGACCAGAUCCACCUGGAAUUGUGGUACCUCUUACAGAUGCUGAGAUUAUGUCAUUAUGGGUGAUUAAUGAGGAUUGACAAAAAGCUUGUAGUAAUUUCUUAGGAGAAAUUAAUAAUAAAUAUCCAAAAAGCAAACAUAUACAGUUUGUAAAAAAGAACUAAUUAGAUUCUUCCAGGUAUAGUAAAGAGAACAGCAAUUCCAGAGACACCAACAUUUUAUACUGAUGCAAAGAAGAUGAGGAUGGCUGGUUCUAAGUCAGAUAAAAUAAGCAAGGUGAUCAAGUCUGUAUACAUUGGUUCAAAAAUCAAAAUUGUAUGAUAUCCUUACAAUAGUAUUAGAUUAUCCUGAACCUCUUAACAUAAUUACUGAUUCUUUAUAUGCAGAAAGAGUCGGUUUCCAUAUAGAGACUUCCGAACUUAUGCAUGAUAGCUUGGAAUUAACUUUGCUAUUUAUACAAUUACAACAGGUCAUCAGAAGUAGAAAUUAUCCAUUAUAUAUUACUCAUAUUUGAUCUCAUACAGGUUUGCCUGGUCCAUUAGCUCAAGGAAAUGACAAAAUUGACCAAUUACUAGUAGACAAUACAAUAGAAACCUCAAAAUUUCAUGAGAAACAUCAUGUUAAUGAAAAAGGUUUAAAGAAAAAGAUUUUCCAUUACUUGGCAACAAGCCAAAGACAUAAUUAAAAAAAAAAGUCCUAUGUGCUCUUUAUACAACCAAAUUCCGCUACCUACUGGCGGUAACCCUAGAGUACCAAAAGGGAUGACAUCUGGCAGAUGGAUGUUUUCCAUUUUGCAGAAUUUGGAACGCAAAGGUAUAUGCACCAUACCAUUGACAUGUGCUCAGGAUUUCAAUGGGCAACUGCUAUAAGAUCUGAAAAGGCUGAUUGUGUAAUUACAUGGUUGUUGGAAAUAAUGGCACUUAUCAUGGGGACACCUACACAAAUUAUAACUGACAAUGAUCCUGCAUAUGUACCCAGUAAGAUGAAGCAAUUCUUUGCAUAUUAUAAGCAUGUUAUUGGUCUAUCACAUAAUCCCAUAGGACAAGCAGUUAGAGAAAGAGCCAACCGUACCUUAAAAGAGAUGCUUAUUAAACAAAAAGGGAGAAUAAAAACCCUCGGGGACAGACUAAAUCAUGCUUUGUUAACUCUCAAUUUUCCUAAUGUUGGUAAAAAAAAAAAAAGGGAACAAACAGCAACUGAGAGACAUUGGGUUACCAAAAAACUGAGGAACUAGGUCAAGAUGGGAACAUGGAUGUGGUUAUGCUUAUGAAUCUACAGGGAAUGAAAAAAUAUGAAUACUUUUCCAUAAGAGAUCAGACCAAUAAAGCUUAUAAAAAUCAGAUCUGACCAAAGAAUCCCUCUUAUUACUGGAGACAUGAAUGUCUUCACCAAGCAAAUAAUCCAAAUAAUUCACAGACUGUCUCAGUUACUGAUAGCUCCACAAAAAAAAAAAAAAAAUGCAUGCAAAUCAACUUCAAAAGGGCUAGCCCAAGUGAUUAAUCACAAAGAGACAAAACAUAGAUUGGACAGACAAUACAAAGACUGGAUUGUUGCGGGAAAUAUUUAAAAAGGCACCAUCCCGAGCUAGUGCCAGCUAUUGUCUGUCCUGGCAGUCUUGCCACCUCCAUGACUAACCCCAGGUGGCAGACUAAGGCAGACUCCUGAAGGGAUAUUUAGCUGAAGCAGACACAGGAGAGAGGAUUUUCUGCUAAAGCAUGUGAAAGCACACGUGAUGAAGGACUCUUUGCUAACAAUGUGUACGUAUUGCUCUGCCUUACAUUGCAUAGUUGAAGUGCAUUUGUCUUGAUUCCAUAGAGAGAAAUGCACCAAAAAAACCUUCUGGUUGUGGUGCUGCAGUUUCUUGCUGCUUCCGAGGAGUUGGGCUGAUUGGCAGAGUGAAGUCAGCUGAGACAGAUGCACCGGACUGAGGCAAGACCCGUGGAGGACACAUGAUGUUUGGAGGCUAUAAAUAAGACUCCAGGGACAGUGAUGGGGCUGAGCUUGGCUUGCUUAUAGAGCUAGCUGUGCAAUGCUGGUGGGUCUCAAGUCUUCACUGAUCUUCACUUUCUGGAAAGAGGCACAGCUAAGAACUUCUAGCAUUCCUGCUGGUUUCUCCUUCUGGUUUCUCCUGCUGAAGCUGGAGCCUUGCUAUUUCUGUUAAGCAGUGCUACCACUGCUGAUUCUUAUUUGCUAUCCCAACUCUAGCAAACCGGACUGCUGGUGUAUCCGUAAAAUGUUUGCAAGCAGAUCGAGCUGCCACUGCUAACCUGUGAACUGAACUGCCGAUUUCCAGACAACACAGUCUGGAGUUGCUCCAAAGAACCUUUCUAAGCAGGUCCACUUCCCCCAUAUCCUUUCUUUUCCACUACCUCUGGAGGGUGGUGGGCUUUACAUAGGAAGUGAAAGCAUUGGAGAACCAUCAUUGAAAAUAGGAUUUGAAAAAAUUAAGUUUUCAGCCAGGCACCACUCAAAGCACUUUGUGGUUUCAAAUAAAGAGGGGGAAAUAAACUGUUUUCAUUUUCUCUGACCUCUUACACUUUCCCCUUGACAUUUAAUGCCUGACCGCAACAAGGGUUGCGUGAAAAGCUUUUCAACUUUUAUUUCUGAUUAUAAAGUUAUACACUUGUAGGAAAGUCUUCUACCAACUGUAAUAUUCCUCCUUUUACAUUUACUUAAUAAUUUAUAUCCAUAAAGACACAGAAGGUGGGAGCUGUGGUAAAAAUCUGCUAACUCAUCAAUGUAACUUUACUUUCUUAACAAAAAUCUCUAUUUGCAAGCCUGAUCUUACAACUCACCUGCUAGCUCUUUAGAAAUCUCUUUCUAUCGGUGUCAUUUUACUGAGCUCAUCUUCCUGUCUCUUGAGCUCCUCCAAAUGCAAGAGGGCUCCUUAGCUCUCUUUCCUAGAAUACUGUUUUACCUGCAUCCUCUCCGUUGCUUCUCUGUGGUUUCCAAGUCCAAAAAGAGAAUCCCUAUCUCUUACCCAGAGCUUCUUUCAGCAAGGCUCUUCCAAGCCAUGAGAGAGAGCUCUCAAAGGUCCAAUUGCUAUAAAAGAAGUCUCUAGCUCCUCCCCUAUAACUUGGCAGGCUGAACCAUGUCACCAUCAUGGUGGGGGCUCCAAGCCAAGUGAGUAGGGGCUGAACCACUCCACCUUUAUGAUGGGGCAGCUCAAGGUCACCCAGCCCACUUCACCUCAGGUCAUAGAGCAGAUUGGGUCACAGAGCAAAGACCACUAGACCUCUCCCAAGCAACUUGCCUUACAGUAGGCAAAAACUUUUUAUUCCUUAGCAUGCUUAUCUAUUGAGACUUCUAGCGGCACAUCAAACUGUAUCUAAUUAGGACACACCCAUCAGCAUCUGAUAAACAGUAUCUAUAACAAUAUGGGUGUUCUAUAAACAAUGAUCAAAUAUCCUGUAACAAUCAGCACAAUACGGGAAGGCUAAAUAGAAAUUAAGACCUUUAGAAUUUUCCAUUCCUGGCCUUAGCCACCAAAGUGAUUAUUACACUUCUUCUAUCUCUUCCAAGAUUUUUGUGAAAGUAUCUUUUAUUCUCCUGAAUAAUUGUCAUCUCUGAGGCUUACUGCCAUCUGUUAACCCAAACCUAGUCCUGGAAGCUUCUAGCCUCCACACAAUCUAAUCUAAGAUGAGAAUGUUUUCAGCCUCUGAGACUUGCUGCUGAGAAAGCUCACUCUUUCUAGUUCUUUCUGAGCAGUGGCUGGCUGGUUCAGGUCAGUUGUUCUGGCUCAAACACUUCUUCAAGCUAACUGACUCAAUUUGACUUCUCUUUCAACCUCUGACUCUUUUGCUCUGCUGGGCCUCUAACUCUGGCAAUAUGCUCUAAUUUUCUAGCUUGCUCUUUCUCUGCCCUGCUCCUUAAAACAAACAAACAAAAACAAAGCAAAACAAAACAAAUAAACCAUAACUUCUCACUUUACAUAAUCUAAUUCUGUAAUUUGGUUUCUUUAACCCAGUGAGUGCCCCUUCUGUGUAGCCCAGGUUGGUGGUGAACUUGAGAAUCCUCAUGUCUCAGCCUUUCCCAGGAUUACAGACUUGUUCAUUUCAGAGAUAUUUCCACAUCAGCACGCUGAGAUCUACUCUUCCAUUGCUUCUACUUACUUAUUUUUAGCUUUCUUUUACCACCCCAAAACUGUCUUUGUAUUAGAUUCCGCUGUAAAAAUACUGUUGGGUAUUUUCCUGAUCAUGAAAGAGCUGAACUGAAGCACAUAGGCUUUUCAUGUCAUCCCUCUUCCUUAAAUGUUACACAGCAUGCUUAACAGCAUUUUUCUCAUCUAUCGCUCGACCAUUAGGAUUAACGAGCCUUUAGCGUUUGCCAGUCAGGGCUAAGGCAGAUGACUCAGUAGGUAAAAAUGGUAGCUGAGCAAGCAUGAGGACGGUAGUUCAAAUACCCAACAAACCUGCACCUCUAAUCCUAGCUCUAAAUGGGCUGAGACAGAAGGCUUGGUGUCAGUUCUCUGAGCUCAGCGAGAAGAAACCUUGUCUCAAGGGAAUGCUGUGAAAAAUAACAGAGCAGGAGAACUGAUGUGGUCCUCUGGCCUACCCUUGUGAACCUCACGCCCCCACACACCCCUACCUACAGUUUGCCAAUCAAUCAAAGCUUGAAAGACUGAUAGUCUGUCGUCUUAUCUGAUUGCGAAUAGACAACAAGCUAAAUUGUUAAACGUGCGGGUUGUGAAGUUAGACUUUCCUAGUUCCUAGGUGUCUGUUUCCCUCUCCCUGGUCCUAGAAACUAAAAUCAGGGCCUUGCCUGUGUUAGUUAAAUGAGCACUCUACUGCCAGGGUACAUUCCCAAUCUUUGAGUUUUUCGCUUAAAAUGUGUUCUCGGGCUAUGGUGGGUCAUUUUGUCUCAAAAAGAAAAGGGACAGUGAGUACUCGGAUCUUCACGAUUCUAAAAAGACACGAGGAACGGAAAGCCCUCUGAUACGUCUACUACUUGUCUCAAUUCUUUACAAAUGUGCUUGCCCCAGUAUUUUAUUUUUAGUGUCCUCCUCCGCUGUAGCAGGGUUUGGAGAACAGUCUUGUCGCGGGUAAUUUGAAGUUAAAGGAAAGUUGGCUGUGCUUUCUAAAUCGGUCCCCCUCGACUCCGACUUAGAUUGCUCUACACGAAGGAGCUUUUGAAAUAGAAGAGGGACAAGUCAGAACACCCUUUGAACGCCCGGAUCCGAACCUGCAGAAACCCUAGUUAGCUUUCCCGGACUUAAACUCCAGACUUUGCUUCUUCGUCCAGACGUGGCCACGCCCGGUCACGCCCCCGGAAAUGACGUCCCGGCCGGCUACUUCUUCUUCCGCAGUCCGCCGGCGGCACAGUCCAGGCCUGCUCCGGGGGUGCAUCGGCUUCGCCAGGGGCAGAGGGAUUCUGGGUAACGACCGUGGCCGGCCGGGCGGCUGGCUCCGCCCAGCAGGUUCCACUCACGCCAGGGCCGUUGGCGCUGGCGGUUGCCGGGCCCGGACCAGUGGGACAUGGAGCAGCCGUGGCCGCCACCGGGCCCCUGGAGCUUCCCGAGGACUGGCGGGGAAACCGAGGAGGAGAGUGACUUAGACGUGUCCCCCUCUUCGUCCCACUACUCUCCGGUACCGGACGGCGGCGCCCAGAUGUAUAGCCACGGGAUUGAGCUGGCUUGCCAAAAGCAGAAAGAAUUUGUGAAGAGCUCUGUUGCAUGUAAAUGGAAUCUUGCUGAAGCCCAGCAGAAACUUGGCAGCUUAGCACUGCAUAACUCUGAGUCCUUGGAUCAGGAACACGCCAAAGCACAGACCGCGGUGUCAGAACUGAGGCAGCGGGAAGAAGAGUGGCGACAGAAAGAAGAGGCUCUGGUCCAAAGAGAGAGGAUGUGUCUCUGGAACAUGGAUGCCAUUAGCAAGGAUGUUUUUAAUAAGAGUUUUAUUAAUCAAGAUAAAAGAAAAACAGAAGAGGAAGAUAAAUCACAAUCAUUUAUGCAGAAAUAUGAGCAAAAAAUCAGACAUUUUGGUAUGUUGAGUCGCUGGGAUGACAGUCAGAGGUUUUUGUCUGACCACCCACACCUCGUAUGUGAAGAGACUGCUAAAUAUCUUAUUUUAUGGUGUUUCCACCUAGAAGCUGAGCAGAAAGGCGCUCUAAUGGAACAGAUAGCACACCAAGCUGUGGUAAUGCAGUUUAUUAUGGAAAUGGCCAAAAACUGCAAUGUGGAUCCAAGAGGCUGUUUUCGUUUGUUUUUCCAGAAAGCCAAAGCGGAGGAAGAAGGUUAUUUUGAAGCAUUCAAAAAUGAACUUGAAGCUUUCAAGUCAAGAGUAAGACUUUACGCUCAAUCACAAAGCUUGCAGCCUGUGACAGUUCAGAAUCAUGUCCCCCAUUCUGGUGUUGGAUGCAUAGGCUCCUUAGAAUCCUUACCACAGGCUCCAAGAUUUUAAGACCAGCUUUAGCCAGUUUAUUCUGUUGUCUACAUUGGGACAUGGAAAGUGUCAUUCAGAAGACAAUAUGAGGAGAGUCCUGUAUUUAUCUAUAAGCCUCAUAAAAUGUGCUCAAUAGGGAAACGGAUGAAGAGUGGCCCUCAGAAUCCCGGGAUUUGCUUCUCAGAACCACCUUAAGGUUCUGAACACCCCUAACCCACACACGUUUCUUGGGCGUGCACACUGGUUCGCAAGUCAUCCAUGGGCCAGAUAAAGAAUGCUUGAUUUAUGACUUUCCAAAACCAGGCUGUGAUGGCUCUGCGCCUUUCUCACUGGGCUUUCACUUGGACAAAGGGGUCCCUUUAUUGACACCUUGUAACAUUUGUGUGGUUAACUUAAAUAAUAGCCGCUGCUUUCUAAGUAAACUAGCAUUGCUUACUGAGAAGAAAUGCAAAGGGGGUUAUUUGUUGUAGCCGUUUAGCAUGUAAAGUCACAGGCUGGUAGAGCUUUCAGAGAAAGCAAGCUUUGAACAAGAUGCUUUAGUCCUGAGCUAUGGGGCCAGGAGUGCAUUGUUGCCUGACUGUUCUAUCCUUAAGAUGUACCACGUGAACGUUUGCCAAUUAUAAUUGCUCUGCAAUGGAAUGGAACCAGCUACAAAAAACUAGUCUUCUAAAGAGUAAGAACAUCACAUCUCCGAUCAGAUGAACAUUCCAGGCUGGAAAGAAUAGGGCUUUUUAAAAAUAAGCGGUUUAAGAUAACAAUACCGGCUACUAUGUAGCUUCUUUUUAAGGCUCUUCCUGUUUUCCUGUAAGCCCAGAGGUAAAUGCAUGGGAUCUUAGGCAGAAAAGCUUGAAUUUGUAUGGAAGAAGUGGCAAGAGCCCAAAAAGAAAGACACCCUCCACCCAACCCUGGGCUCCCCAGUCGCUGGUUUCUAUAGUUUUUCUCAACUUGCCACAUUUUGACAGAACUAAUCCCUACGGGUACUUCCUCUCUUCACAGUCCCUUAGUGGUGCUUUUUAUCUGCCCAGACAAAGCACCCUCUGUUCUGUGUCCUGUGAACAAUCACGCUCACCACACUCGGUACAUGAGGUUCUAGUAAGAUUGUUCCCAAACCUCACAACAGUGCGUGGCUGGAGCUAACCACCAUCAGCCCCAUGACUUUGGCUGGGCCGUGGGGAGGUGGGGCGGACUGUCCCUACUGUUCAGUUAACUGAAGCUGGCAGGAGCUGAGCUAAAAUCAGAAGACACUGCAACCGCUGGUGACUGAAGCCCCAGGGCCAGCUGGCUGUAUUUGGAGCCUACCCCCCCACCCCCCGCCCCCAACACCAUUUGUUUAAGCCAGUGUGAGCAGUUUCUGAUGAUAAUAAGCACAUGUUAUAUCUCACUGCUGAUAAAUCUUGUUCGCCCAGUUCUCAUUCUUGGAGGCUCAUAGGAACUGAGUCUGAUUGUCUGCAUGGACAAGGACCUGGCACAGCGCCAGCAGAGCACCCAACAUCGAUUCAGUAGCCGAGGAUUCCUCAAGCCUUUCCCAGGCUUCUCACUUCAAGUCUCUUCUGGUUCUCUAAAGCAAUAUACUAUAUACCGACUGACUGAAGUAAGGAGUCGGUGACACGGAGAUGAAAAGCCUUGUCAUAGAGCUGUCAGUCUUCAGAGGCAAACUUGAUAGACAAAUACAAACUUAAGUGAUGGCUGCUGUAGAAAGUGAAUUGGCAACUCUUGUAAUUUCACCCUCCAGAAAUAAACUAUUAGAAGUAUUGGGACAGUUUGGAGGCUGGCUAUGAAUUUUCCUGCAUACUUAUCCCAGUGCAGCAGUAAUGGCCACAACAACAGCUAAUAUAUGUCCAGUGCGUAUUGUGCACCCGGGACAACUCACUUUCAAGCCUCCAGCCUCACCUACGUCUCAUGAAAGAGAAACCAGACAGAGGUUAAGCAAGAAGUGAAGGCCAUGUUAAUGAAAUACUAAGCUGGGGUUUGAACCUAGGCCUUCUGACUCUGGUAUCAAUGCUAGUUUUGCAACAGCAGGUACUGCUUUGCCCCUGAAUCGUGCGGGAUACAAUGAAAGCAAAGAGUAGCACAUUUCCUGGAAGAAGGAAGGGUGGAGGAGACCAAACUGCUUCUUGGCCUGAGUCAGGUAUCAGCUCUAAUAGUUCUCAUAUUCUCUAAGAUACAGAUGUCCUUGUAGAGCAGACAAAAAUGUGAGUGAGCUUUCAAAGACAUUUGACCACAUACGUGAUCCUAAAGCUUGCUGCCAUUUGAAAUUCUAUGCUUCAGUGUCCUCUCAGCACACUUGGUGGGCACUACUGUAACUGGUGCCCCAGCACUGCUUCCAGCCAUCCACUCCAUGACAGAAUGUGGGUGGAAAUGGAGCCUCCAAGCCUUGGAUGUGGACUAGUCUGUACUGGCCCUCCCAAGCCCCAGGACUGAUGUUGGAACUGGCAGAAGCCCAGCCCUGCAACAGUAAGUAUGAGGUUUCCUGAGCAUGGCUGUUCUGUCUCAUAAGAAUGAUGUUCAAAGCAAAAGUUUGUUUACUUAAUAAAAGGUCUACUCAGCCCUUCACGAAAGAGGAUGGCAUGGCCUUUCUGGCAAAACCAGCAACCACGCAGGAACGAGGAGGACCAAGUCAGUACAUAAAAGCAGGCGAACCCAGGAGACUGAAGCCCUGCCUACUUUCUGGUCGUCUUUUCUUUACAGAAGCCUAGAAAUGUCCUUAAUGCUUAAACCAGCUGGGAUCAGGUCCUCUGGUAGCUUAGUAUUUCAGCUGUGCAGUAUGGAAAGUCAAAACCUUGCUUGUGCAAGCUGAGAAGAGCAAGAACUCACUGGUAAUACUGCAGGACCGGCUCUGUCUGGGCUUCAUAGGCCUUUAGUCUCUUGAUCACUGUCUCUGGUUUGUCAUCCUCGCGCUGAAUCAGAGGUUCUCCGGUCAGGUCAUCAAUGCCCUAAGCAGCAAGCAGAAGAAUGUCAGCUCGGCAGGACAGAAUCCAUUCAAGCACCAGUCACAAACCUGUGCUCAAAGCAAACAGGAUCCAAACUAAAGGCAGAGCUGUGCAGCUGCCACGAGACUCCAGAGUCAUUUCCAUAGCACUAUAUGGUUUGGAUUUGGAAGCCUCUUCCUUCCCCCAUCCCUCCCCGCCCCCAGGCCCAAGUCCUCAAGGGUUGGCCCCCAGACGUGGGAUACUGGAAGAAAUCCCAACUGUGAGCCAGUAUUGCAAAUCCUCACAGCCUCUGCCCUUCACUCACACUCUGGAACAGAGUAAAAAAAAUAAUAAUACAUGCUUUUUUUCUGUGUUAGGUUUCUCAUUGCUGUAACUAAUACCUGAGAAACACAACAAGGUGGGGGGGAACAACUGUUUAUUUGGGCACAUGGUUUCAGAGGGUCCAAAUCUUGGCUGCUUGGGCUCAUUAGUCAUGGUUGGAGUGGGGGUGGGGGUGGGGUGGGGUUUUAUCACAGGAUGCACAAGAAGCAGAGUGGAGAAGGGGCUAAGGAUCAUUCAUAGGUUGCAGAUGUCCCAGUGACACACUUUUUCCAGUUGUGAUGGACCUCAAAUAUUAUGCCACCAUCUGGAGACUAAGCAGACACCACACUGAGCUGUUGGAUCCAUUUCCUAUUCCAACCAUAGCACUUCUGAAUGACUAACAAGCCUAUUAGCACGGGGACGUCUCUUACCACCAGGCUGCAGGAGAUAGGACCCGUGCAAUAGUCUUGGUCAGAUAGGAUGAGAAGUUCACAGCUAUGCCUGUUAGAGUGGAUGUCAGCUCAGCUCGCUACAGUCACUUACCACAGUCUUGGGAGGGUUGAAUUCAAUGUUGUAUACUCGACCACUGGCAGGAUGUAUCCAGCGAGCAGUAAGGCGCUGUUUAAUGACCUCAAAGGGCACGUUGAGAUUUAUCACUGUGUCUAUCUGAUAAACUUUAUCCAGGGCUUCUGCCUGUGGAAGUGUCCUUGGAAAUCCUUUAUAUGAGGGGAGGAGGAGAGAGGGGACAGGCAGGCAAGAAAGAAAAAGUGUUAGGCAAAUUGAGCCCAAGGAAUGACACCAGGCAUGUUGACCAGAGCCGUAAUAUAACUGAAAUCAAAUUUAUUGUCUACUUGACUGGGCUGUAGAGUACUCAGGUAUUUGGGCAAACAUUCUGAGUGCAUGUGACAGUAUUUCUGUAUAGACAGCACAUUGCCCUCCCAGGGUUCUCUACUCAAGCCUGAGUAGAGAAGUAAGGGAAGACGGUCUGCCUGCCAUCUUACUAGAAUCUCCAACCAAACUGAACUCCAGUCUGGGUUGAUGGCAUGCCUGUAAUCCCAGCACAUAGGAAGUGCAGGCAAGAGGUCCCAGAGGUCAAAGCCUUGGCUACACAUUAGUGGGGUUAGUUAAGGGCCAGUCUGAACUACAGGAGACUCAAAAAUAAACACAAGGAGCCAGAGAGAUGGCUCAGUGAUUUAAGGCACUUGCGGAUCUUACAUAGGACUCAGGUUCAGCCCCUGGCCCCAUAUGGCAGCUCAAAGCCAUCAUAACUCUAGUUGGAGAGUUCUGACUUUACCUUCUGGCCUCCGAGGGCACCAGGAACGCACAUGGUACACAAGCAUAACGUGCAAGCACAACAUUCAAAAAACGCAUCUCAGGUUAAGACUCAUCUCAGGGGAAGCCAGAGUUCUACGCUUGGUUCUCUAAAACAACAGCCAAACACAGAGUACCCUCAUCCUGUGACUCACAACCACCCGUAACUCCAGGUCCAAGGGAUCUGACACCUUCUAGCCUCCAACAGCCGGCACAAACACACACACACACACAAAAUAGGGCAGGAAUGGUGACUGACUCCUUUAAUCUCAGCUCUCAGGAGGUAGAGAUGCAGACUGAUUUCUGAGUUUGAGGCCAGCCUGGUCUACAUUGUGAGUUCCAAGCUAACUAGAGCUGCACAAUGAGACCCUAGCUUUAAAAAAACAACAAGAACAAAAAAGGAUGAAUCAGGAGGACACUGUCAGUUCCACUCAAAACCUCAGGAGGCUGUGUUCAGAAUAUGACAGCAAAGUACAGGGCAACAUGGCAACCUGUAAAACAGUUCUUGCAGUGUGAACAUCCCUAACCCAGAAAUCUAGAUUCGAUGAUAUCACAAAAAUGUCUGAUUUGCGAUUUAGGGUGUUCAGAAAUGUUCAGCCGGUAAAGUCUACACAGCCCAAACAAAGUAUGAAAACUCUGAUAGGAAACGUGUGCUCUGAGGCAUUUGAGAAAUAGGAUAUUGGCCAGUGCAGCUAAAAUAGUUUAAACAAUGUGGUUCAAAAAUAGAGAGAAAAGCAACUAGAACUGAUUGCUGAAUCCCCAAGUACGUUGGGGAAUUUGAAAUAAUAUUCUUAUCCCAAAUAUUUUACUUUGUAAUGUUAUGACUCGGGACAUUGUGUCCAGAACACAUGGAAAAGCUAACACUGACAGAAAUAAUACAUUUUUUUCAAAAGUGAUAAAGGUUAAAAUGCAUUUGCAAUGAUUGAUUGGAGCUAAAAACAUCUUGCUAACAAGUAAACAGGGAAACUUUGUUCACAACUUAGGCCUUAUAAGGUGAUAAAAUAACAAUUAAGAAACCUGGGUGGAGAGAAAAUUGCCUCCAAAAGAAAAGAUGUUCAAACCGUAACUUUUUAUAGCCCCAAGUUGAGGGAAAAAAACAAGUACCUACUGUAAGUUUUGUAAUGAAAUCAGUCAUCUGAGAGAAAAAUUAAUAUGGUUUACGAGAAUAACACUAUCAAUCCACAGAAUGCUCUCAUAUGCCAAUCCAUAUUUUACAGGGAGCAUUUCUUUCAACUGCCCUAAUAACCAUUAGACAGGUGCUGUUACUAUCCAAAUUUACAAAUGAGGAGAAGGAGACAGAGCAGCAGCAAACGCCUGGCUUUAGCUCCUAAAGCUCUUCAGCAGUGGCAGUGACAUGUGAACACUGGCUGCCUAGCCUAAUGCCUAAACACUUGGAACCAAGGAGCUUACACUGAAAAAGGCCUAACAAAUAGCUCCCUAUUGACCCAGUUCUUACUACAAUGCCCAUACUGCUGCUCUUGCAGAGGACCCAGGCUUGGUUCCCAUCACCCACAUAGCACCCACAACUACCUGUAACUCCACUUCAGGAGCUCAGACACCCUUUCUAACCUCUAAGAGCAUCCCACACAUGAUAUACAUACACAGGUUCAGGCAAAGUGCUCUACACAUUUUUUUCAUGUUUAUCUUCAAUAACUCAGAACAAAACACCCAUUGGGAUAAAAGACCUGAAUCAAAAUACCCUUUUACAGUAGAAGAACCAUUCCUUUAUAUCAUCAUUCCAAACACUGAGAACCCAGCUGCACCCCAGCAGUAGCCAGGUCAGCCUUGGAGAGCUCAAGUACAUGUUAUUGAGCCUAUGCAUAAACUCAAUCUCUGCCACCAUGGCCACUUUGUUCAUGUGCCCAUCGGGCAAUAACAGAGAUAUGGAAAAUAUAAAUACACACACACCACUCGUAUUACAAGGGCUUUUAGGCUAUGCUCCAGCUAGUCAAACAAUGGCUGUCAACCAAAGGAAAGCCCGAUAAUCCAAUAGUUGUUCAGUUCAUGAGGCUAGAUGUCUCACUCUUCAGUAUAUGCCAACUAGGCUCUAAUGCUAGUGAAGGACUUGCCAGUGGGAGAGCCAGGGCAAGCAGGCAAGAGAGAGGAAGCUUCCUCCUCCCUUGUCUUUUAUAUAGGUUGUCAGCAGAAGGUAUGGCCCAGAUUAAAGGUGGAUCUGCCCACCUCAGAAGAUCUGGAUUAGAAGAGGGUCUUCACACUUCAAAUGAAGCAAGAAAGAAAAAAAUAAAAUCCUUUGCAGGUAUACCCAGCCACUUGGGUUUUAGUUAAUUCCAGAUAUCAUCAAGUUGACAACCAGAAUAGGCAUGUCUACCCUUUCUCAACUUUGUGUCAUGUUUAAUUUCCAAAUGAAAACAAUAACCAGGUCAUAAUGCCUAAACAUAACUAUCUCACAAACAAUCACAAACACACUAUAUAUUUAACCAGGUCAUAAUUAACACAAUAUAACUAUUCCUUACACAACUGCAAAUACAUUCUAAAUUUAGAACAGGUGGCAGAUGUCCCUUAAGGGACAUUUUAGUAUCUCAAAACUUAAAUGUGAUUACCAGUGAUAAUCUCUUAAUUGAUGUUAUAUGAUAAAAUGGAGGAAAGAAAACAAAUAUCUGUACAAACACAUUCUUAGUAAAAUUUUAUGGAAGCACUCAUGUCAGUUAUAAUCCUCACGUCUGUAACUGGUCAUGUGGCUUUAGCAGAUAUUUAUUACCACCUCCCUCUGCCACCCAUUCUAUCUCCUCCCUCAGUAAGUACCUCAGUAGGACCUCCAUUCCUGAUGGGUCUGUUGUGCCCUUUGUCAUCCUGCCUGGAUUAAAUUGUUGGAGUUUCCCCUUGGCUUUAAAUACAGGACAUGAUGGCACCGAGAGAGCCCUAAGAAGGAUCUCCAGCAUUCCAGACAUUUUUCUUACCUCUAUUGUGGAGAAGCAAUACAAUUUCCCCAUGGUAAUCUGGAUCAAUCACCCCUCCUAACACAGUUCUUUAGCCUGUUGAUUUAAGGACAUCAGAAACCCAAAGUGGCCAGGGGGAAGUCUGAGCUUCCAGUUCAAUGGAAGGCUUGUUUUGUCGCCUGGAAGGAUCACUCCCCCUUCUGGAACCAAAUCUUCUAGGCCAGGAGAACUUAAGAUCAUAGGAACAGGAAGCAAACAUUUUCCUAGUGGGUCACUUGGGGUGAUAGUGGAACUAUCCCCUUUUCCACCCCUUGAUUCCUGAGCCUGUGGAUCCUGGCUAUUGGGAGCAGACUCCUAGCAGAAAGCAGCUAUCAUCUCUGCAGCCAUCUUGGGCUAUUUACUUACAGGUGCUACUUUUCCAUCCUGAUGAGAGACUUGUUUUCCUAGCAUGAUGUUUUGCAAGAAGCCCACCACAGCUGAACACAUCUUGUUUUUCUCCUAUACAUCCUGGACCUGUGGCUAAGUGUCUCCAGCUGCACUCCCCAGCAAGUGCAUAUAUAUCCAUAAUUGCCUUUCAAUAAACAAGACUUGAGCAGA